ACUCAAAUGAAUAGACGGGGACCCGCACAAGUAGGGGAACGUGUGGUUUAAUUCGAGACAAAACGAAAAACCUCACCAGGGUUUGAAAUGUAUGUUUUAGGAUCCCGAAAGGGAAACGAACCGCAAGGUAGCAUACACAGGUGCUGCAUGGCUGUCGUCAGCUCGUGUCGUGAGAUGUCGUCUUAAGUGACUCAACGAGCGCAACCCUCAUCAUUAGUUGUAUCACUCUAAUGAAACUGCCCCGCAUUCUGGGCUUGUCCGAUAUAAAUCGGACGAGAGUAGGAUGCGGGGAGGAAGGCGAGGAUGAUGUCAAGUCAUCAUAGCCCUUAUGUCCUGGGCUACACACACGUUACAAUGCACAACACAACGAGCUGCGAGACCGCGAGGUUAAGCCAAUCUCUUAAAGUUGUGCUCAGUUCAGAUUGUAGGCUGAAAUUCGCCUGCAUGAAGAUGGACUUACUAGUAAUCGCAAAUCAGCAUGUUGCGGUGAAUACGUUCUCGGGUCUUGUACACACCGCCCGU
rnacentral:rRNA from 1 species